CACGAGGGUAAGUGAUGACAGAUUUUCACAUUUCUUUAUUUAGUUAACUAUUAAAUAAGUAAAACAUUACAUUACAUUUAACCCAGCUUCUUUAUGUAACGUUAUGUCUGUGUUGCGUGUGGUAAUUGGAACAUCUUUAUUUUCUGACUAACGUUAGGCAUUUCUCUUAAGCAUUUCAGAAAUCAUUAAAACCUUUCAUUUUUUUAGCACAGCGACAUAAAUAUGACCAACCAGAUCCCAAGUAGACAGGAACAAAUGAAGAUAUAGCGCAUAGAAAGACUUAUUCUUGGUGAUCAACUGCUAUUGACAUUUUUGAAUCGGGGCAAAUGUGGAGUGAAGAAAAACGUUUGCAACACAUCCAUUCCAGAGUGCUCUGACAGAUAAAACUGACACGCUUGAUGAGGACACAGUCAAAGCUUUAAAAGCCCGUGUGAUAAAGCAGUCUUCAAUUACUACGGUGUCUGAAUUGCAAGAAGUCGUCACCCUCCACUUAAACAUGUGAUAUCUAAACUGUUUUGUGUUUUAGUUCAGCUUUUUAUAGGUUUAUCUUAAGUUGGUUAAAGGCAGAGUGCACUAUUUUUGAAAGCCAAUGUUAACAUUUGAAAUUACCUAAACAAACAUGCCUCUACCCCAAUAGAAUCUGGACCUUCUUUUGAUAGAGCCACC